rnacentral:snRNA from 1 species
GGAUGUGAGGACAAUCUGGCUGCGACAUCUGUCACCUCUUUGAUCACNGGGUUGAUUCAGUUAAUUUGGCUGGCUAGGUGGGUGUUCCCCCUUCCUCCCUUGCCACUCCAACGUGCUUCUCUCCCUCUCCUGAAGCUGCAGGGCCUUCCCUGAAUAGAGGAGGACUGCUCAAGGGUAUAUGAGUAGCUGCACUCCCCUGCUAGAACUCCCCAAACUCACUCUGUGGCAGAUCUUCCUGCCUCCCAGAUAGCGGGGCUACCAAGCCUGCACCACCAGACCUCACUCAACACUCUGU